AGAACCAUCCGGACUCACAUACAUGCAAACGCACACACGCCCCUAAAACUACAGCUGAACAAGACAAUCCAAACUUAACAAUAUUAAUAGUGUAGAAACAGGGUUAUCAGAUAUGAAUUUAUUAAUCAUGGUUACACAGAGCACUGUUUCAUUUCAAAUUAUUUUGAAUACGAGUAGAGACCUGCAAAACUGAAUCCAUGGUCCUUUCUUGGGUCUUGCUUAGUGUUUGAAAAGCACUUUUCUAUUAAAAAAAAGUGACAGCUCUGCACUCCGUAUCUCUCUGCUUUUCCACAUUAAAACGGGACUCAAUAUUGGUGAUUUCACAAGGGAGCAAAUGCCAGCUAGUCUUGAGAGGAAACUUGUUGCUUGCUUUCUCAUGACAUCUGUGAAUUAAAAACUCAAAACCAUUUCAUUUCCAUUGUUUAAUAUGGCACACAGCAGCUUUCUGGCUAAGAUAUGCAUUUUGCAGUACAUUUAUUAGAAUAAUAGUAUUCUGGCAUUAUGUGAGUAUGAUUUUCUUUUCUCCGGCCCCUGUUUCUAGACUUUGUAAAUUUGUACAUUGACAACUAGUUGGUCCAACUUCUUAGGUCUUUUUUUUUUUUUUUUUUUUAAAAACAACUGCUGGGCCCAAAGUGCCGUUGAUAUUACAGGUUGCCAUUACUUUUUAUGAGCUAGUUUGCGAUGCCAGUUGGAUGGAUUCUCUUUUCCUAACGGCAGUGGAAUAUCUGUGUAAGCUUCUGGCGGCCGAUGACUCUGUAGCCAGUCCAUUUGAGAGACUUCCAACUCUCAUGGAAGAUCUGGGUGGACGUUGGAGUUCUGGAUAGGUUUGUGUGUUCUCUUUUCCAAGGGGAAAGAAAUGUUGGUGGAAUUGCAUGUGUCUAACUCUUAACUAUUUCUUAUCAGAGUUUUAGUUUUUGUGGGCUUAUGAAUUCAUCUUGUCUCAGUAACAAAGUGUCAACAAAAUGUACUGAAAAGGGUUUUCUUUUAAAAAUGGCAAGAGAAACUAUUCCAGGGAAUAGUUUGCAAACUAGAGAGAUACAGUUCUGGAGAGCAAAGAGAGGGUUUUUUCUUUCUUUCUUUCUUUUUUUUUUUUUUUUUAGUAGAGUUCCUGCCCAAGGUUCCCACUGGUCUGCUAGGCAACUGAGGAAUGCAAACUUGUUUAGUUCUGAUUGGUUGCUGCUUGUUGAGUUCUGACUGGUUGACACUCAUUGGAUUCUGAGGGGUUGAUGCUUGUUGAGUUCAGACUGGUUGACACUUGUUGGGUCCUGAUGGGUUUAUGCUUGUUGAAUUCUGACUGGUUGAUGCUUGUUUAGUUCUGACUGGUUGACACUUGUUGAGUUCUGAUUAGUUGGUGCUUGUUGAGUUCUGAUGGGUUGGUAUUCACUGGGUUCUAUCUAACUGGUUGAUGCUCAUUGAGUUCUGACUGUUUGACACUUGUUGGACUCUCAUGGGCUGAUGCUCAUUGAGUUCUGAUAGGCGGACACUUGUUGAGUUCUGAUGGGUUGACACUUAUUGGGUUCUGACUGGUGGGCACUUGUUGAGUUCUGAUGAGUUUGGCACUUGGGUUCUGAUGAGUCAACACUUGUUGAGUUCUGAUGGGUCGACCCCCGAUGAGCUCUGACUGUUUGACACUUGUUGGGUUCUAACUGGUUGACACUUACCGAGUUCUGACUAGUUGAUGCUUGUUGAAUUCUGAUGGGUUGACACAGAUCACAGUCUAUUGAUUGAUUCAGGCUGCAUGGAUAGGAAUUGACAGUUGUGAAAGUCUCAAAGUUGUAAGAAUGUUUGGGUUUUCCAGGAACUUAGAGCACAUGUGUGAGCUCUUGUCAGCAAAUGGCCGCUUGACCCUGUUUUGAAUUUAGUCCCAUUGAGUGACUUGGGAUCCACCUUGAAGCACUGACUCCUUCAGGGUUCACAGAAAAUGUAGGAGAACCUGCCAUUUUAACCAUUUGCCUGUAUCUUGAUCCCAUAUCUUUAUUUUCUUACUCUUGACCUGAUUUGGCCUAACGUUUUCCAUCCUUUUAUCUUCACUGAAGUUUAGCUUAGUUUUCUGCUCUUUAAAUGUGUUCUUUAAGUGAUGACAGAUCAUCCUCAUUCUAGGCUCCAAAGAUAGUAAUAAGAUGUACUCUUUCUAGACAGGCGGAAUGAAUUUUGAUGGCUCAGUGUUUUUUUUGUUUUUUUUUUUUUUUUUUUUUUUUGAGACAGAGUCUCGCUUUGUUGCCCAGGCUGGAGUGCAGUGGCGCGAUCUUGGCUCACUGCAAG
rnacentral:lncRNA from 1 species